rnacentral:rRNA from 1 species
GGGUUCAGAACGUCGUGAGACAGUUCGGUCCCUAUCCGUCGCGGGCGUAGGAAAUUUGAGAGGAGCUGUCCUUAGUACGAGAGGACCGGGAUGGACGCACCGCUGGUGUACCAGUUGUUCCGCCAGGAGCACAGCUGGGUAGCUAUGUGCGGAAGGGAUAAGCGCUGAAAGCAUCUAAGCGUGAAGCCCCCCUCAAGAUGAGAUUUCCCAUCGCGUCAAGCGAGUAAGAUCCCUUGAAGAUGACAAGGUUGAUAGGUCCGAGGUGGAAGCGUGGCGACACGUGUAGCUGACGGAUACUAAUCGAUCGAGGACUUAACUAA